AUCACUUGAGGAUCUUGUUAAAUUACAGAUUCUGAUUCAGGAGCUCUGGGCUGGAGCCUGAGAUUCUGCUUUUCUAACAAGCUCCCAAGUGAUGCCCA
rnacentral:pre_miRNA from 1 species